rnacentral:rRNA from 1 species
UACAUGGGGUGCAAACGUUGCUCGGAAUCACUGGGCGUAAAGCGCACGUAGGCGGAUUGCUAAGUCAGGGGUGAAAUCCUGGAGCUCAACUCCAGAACUGCCUUUGAUACUGGCGGUCUCGAGUCCGGGAGAGGUGAGUGGAACUGCGAGUGUAGAGGUGAAAUUCGUAGAUAUUCGGAAGAACACCAGUGGCGAAGGCGGCUCACUGGCCCGGUACUGACGCUGAAAUACGAAAGCGUGGGGAGCAAACAGG